GUGAGGAAUAUUGCGCAAUGGAGGCAACUCUGACGCAGCCAUGCCGCGUGCAGGAAGAAGGCGCUACGCGUUGUAAACUGCUUUUAACCGGGAAGAAACCCCAGGACGUGUCCUGGGUUGACGGUACCGGAGGAAUAAGCACCGGCUAACUUCGUGCCAGCAGCCGCGGUAAUACGAAGGGUGCAAGCGUUAUCCGGAUUCAUCGGGUUUAAAGGGUGCGUAGGCGGAGCGUUAAGUCAGUGGUGAAAUCCUGCAGCUUAACUGUAGACUUGCCAUUGAUACUGGCGCUCUUGAGUGCGCUUGAAGUGGGCGGAAUGUGCCGUGUAGCGGUGAAAUGCUUAGAUAUGGCACAGAACACCAAUUGCGAAGGCAGCUCACUAAGGCGAUACUGACGCUGAGGCACGAAAGCGUGGGGAUCAAACAGGAUUAGAAACCCUUGUAGUCC
rnacentral:rRNA from 1 species